rnacentral:lncRNA from 1 species
CUAAUACAAUUUCUUCUAUGAGAGCCGGAAAGGUACAAGUGGUAAAUCACCUACUAAAAUUGAACUAGAAUAAGAAUAAACACAGUGGAACUGGUUCUUCUAUCUCGUUCGAGUAGCUACAAUAGUGACACUUAAUCUCACAAAAAUUUCUUGCAAAAUUGCCUUGCUUGUUUGCUCUCAAUUUAGCUUAACUUGUGCGUAUGUGCAUACCUGUAAAAGAGAACAACUCAGUUAUUUAUUUGGUUAGUAACCAGAGUUUGAUUAUGGCUCAAUUUUUGAUCCUCCAUUGAGUUUGAGUCCUAGACCAAUCCAAAAUCCAACCCUUAUCCGGAUGUGUUAUCUUAUCAUAAGGAGACUUCUUAUCCUUAUCCCAUAUGCAAUCUUUUCGAUCAGUUUAGAAGAUAUUGCUGCUUGAUCCCAAAGGCUUAUCUUCUUUACAUGCAUCUCAUGUGCGUGGGCCAUAAAAGCUGUCUCAUAAGAUGGACUUGGCCCUUCCCUAAGUUCAUUUGUCAUUCUUCAAAACUUCAACUGAGCUUGGGCCGACAUAAAGCAAUAAUUAUAAUUAUUUAAAGCAGUAAUAAAAGAAAACAGUAAAUGAAACAAAAAGAAGCGCCAGUUAUGUAAUUGAAAAA